GAAACAUUUCCUCCAGCUUUUAAAUUAUGUAGGAAUGUCAACAGGACAUAAUAUUCCUCUUUUUUAAAACCUAUCAUGUAAACAUUGAAUGCUGCUAAGAGAAAGAUGCAGCCUAUAUUCAUAUUCAAUUCAUGCUCAAUUUCUAGCCUGGAUAUAAAUGUAUGUAUUUUAUUUGCUAAAUUUAGAAUGAUAAUGUAUGCCAACAGAAUUGCAUUUUAUAUGCUAAGGAGCAUGAAAACAUAGUUAACUCCUUCAAGUAGAUUAUUAAUUCACCAAGUCUCAUUUCAGUGCAAGGUCUGGUGAAACGAAUGAACCCUAAACAGGCAAAGAAACAAAUAUUCAAGACUAGCUGGACACCCGUGCUUCGCUAUGAAACUAUGUGAUCGGGGCUACCCAACUUAACACUGUGACUUGGACGAGGGGAUAGAUGGGGAACUCAUCAAAUUUGCAGAUGACACCAAGCUGGCAGGAAUAGCCAACACCCCAGAAGAUAGGCUCAAGAUACAGAAGGAUCUUGACAGACUUGAACAUUGGGCACUAUCUAACAAAAUGAAAUUCAACAGCGAAAAAAGUGUUGGAAGAAAAAUCCGGUCUAGUUCCAAGCUGGGAGAAAGGUGCUAGAAAUAAAAAAGAGGCUAAUUAGAAAGAAGGACUCUGUUUAUUGAUGAGCAAAACCAACAACAGCAUGUAUGAGACAGCUGACAAAUUAGCUUGAUGAGUGCAAGGAUUUUUAUACAGUUUACAGUGUUUUGUAAUUUUGAGGUUUGCUUUGUGUGCUUUUAUUAUUUGAUAGAUGGUGGAUUAAUCCUAUUAUGUUCUAAAGGUCAUGUCCUGUCCUUCUUAAUCUCAUCAGCUGGAGCUGAAGAUGUUUUGUUUAUGAAUAGAUUGGCCCCAAUUUCUUAAUGGGCACAAAAUAUACAUCUCUAAAGACUUCAGGCAUUUACUUUCCAUAGGCAGGGGAAUGGGAAAUCGCGCCUCACAGCUGCACCAAGGAAUUCCCACCUCAGUCAAAACAAAACAUAUCCUAGCCAGCCGAAGUCAAGGCCAUCUCCAUGGAAACCCACAACAGCCAGAAGGAGUGACUUCUAUGACCCAUGAAAUUGCUUUGUGGGGAAAUGUGACUGG